rnacentral:rRNA from 1 species
UAGGGAAUCUUCGGCAAUGGACGGAAGUCUGACCGAGCAACGCCGCGUGAGUGAAGAAGGUUUUCGGAUCGUAAAGCUCUGUUGUAAGAGAAGAACGAGUGUGAGAGUGGAAAGUUCACACUGUGACGGUAUCUUACCAGAAAGGGACGGCUAACUACGUGCCAGCAGCCGCGGUAAUACGUAGGUCCCGAGCGUUGUCCGGAUUUAUUGGGCGUAAAGCGAGCGCAGGCGGUUAGAUAAGUCUGAAGUUAAAGGCUGUGGCUUAACCAUAGUAGGCUUUGGAAACUGUUUAACUUGAGUGCAAGAGGGGAGAGUGGAAUUCCAUGUGUAGCGGUGAAAUGCGUAGAUAUAUGGAGGAACACCGGUGGCGAAAGCGGCUCUCUGGCUUGUAACUGACGCUGAGGCUCGAAAGCGUGGGAAGCAAACAGGAUUAGAUACCCUGGUAGUCCACGCUGUAAACGAUGAGUGCUAGGUGUUAGACCCUUUCCGGGGUUUAGUGCCGUAGCUACGCAUUAACACUCCGCCUGGGGAGUACGACCGCAAGGUUG